CAGUAGCCGCGGGAACACGAAGGGUGCAAGCGUUAAUCGGAAUUACUGGGCGUAAAGCGUGCGUAGGCGGUUUGUUAAGUCUGCUGUGAAAUCCCCGGGCUCAACCUGGGAAUGGCAGUGGAUACUGGCAAGCUAGAGUGUGUCAGAGGAUGGUGGAAUUCCCGGUGUAGCGGUGAAAUGCGUAGAGAUCGGGAGGAACAUCAGUGGCGAAGGCGGCCAUCUGGGACAACACUGACGCUGAGGCACGAAAGCGUGGGGAGCAAACAGGAUUAGAUACCCCGGUAGUCCCUGUCUCUUAUAC
rnacentral:rRNA from 1 species